AUACGGAGGGUCCGAGCGUUAAUCGGAAUUACUGGGCGUAAAGCGCGCGUAGGCGGAUUGUUAAGUCUCAUGUGAAAGCCCUGGGCUCAACCUGGGAACUGCAUGGGAUACUGGCAAUCUAGAAUACAGUAGAGGGUAGUGGAAUUUCAGGUGUAGCGGUGAAAUGCGUAGAGAUCUGAAGGAACAUCAGUGGCGAAGGCGACUACCUGGACUGAUAUUGACGCUGAGGUGCGAAAGCGUGGGGAGCAAACGGGAUUAGAAACCCCGGUAGUCC
rnacentral:rRNA from 1 species